UUUCUACUCCCUCCAUCCGAAUAUACUUGUCAUCAAAAUGGAUAAAAGGAAAUGUAUCUAGACGUAUUUUAGUUUUAGAUACAUCUAUUUUUAUCCAUUUUGAUGACAAGUAUUUCCGGACGGAGGGAGUA
rnacentral:pre_miRNA from 1 species